rnacentral:lncRNA from 1 species
CUGCUAUCUGAAGACACUGUGGGGUGGAGGUAUUUUCCUCUUGCAGUUCCUCUCUACUCUCCAUGCGGAUGAUUAGCCUGGGCCUUCACUAGUCCCUUUCCUUCCAGUCCGCAUUCUGAGGUUGUACCAAGGAGUUCUUUGGAUCUCAAAAGUAAGACAAGUGACUGUUCUGUGUUCUGCUGGGAGAGAGACAGCCCACCGACCGAGGAGGAGAGAAACAUCCCUCAUCAAUGGGAAACCCAAACAAAGUGGUCUAGUUGGACAUCAUCAUGGGCUGCAAACUUCCCACAUCCUUGAGGCAGAAGCUCCCAAGGGCCUUCCCUCCUAUGAAGAUUUAAAAUCCCUUAACGACCAUGGUGGCUCCUAUAGUGGUCACUCAUUCAAAACAAGAGGGUUAGAACCCUUAGCAGCAGAGCUCUCCCUUGGAAAGCUCUCGCUCGGCCUGGUGGACUGAGUGGUCAGAAGAUAAUACGGCGACUCGGACCAAGUGCUGAGAUGAAAGCAAGCCUCGGGCGUAAGCCCCUCCCGUCCCUCCCCACACCCGGCCUGGUCUUCUCUCUCCUCUGACUCUGAAGGCCUUCCGAGAGGCCACAGGAAGUGCUCCUGUCCAGCUGCACCUGAGAACGCAUCGUCCUAGACACCACACAGGUGCUCCUAGAAGACCCACCCGGCUCGCUUCUACGGGAAGGACAUUCCUGAGGUACUCACGUCGCUGCCCGGCCCCCCGUCCGCAUCCUCAGACCCUCAUGCAGACCGGAUCUCUCACCCUGACGGCGCGGGCCUCUCCUGGAACUCACCUGCUGCCUCUGGACAACACCUGACCUGGUCCACACUCGUCUCCAUGCUGUCCUUGCCUGGUGAAUUCCUCCACUGCCAGCGUCGCCGGCCCUCCAUGUCUCCUGGAAUAAUCCCCCUUCAGUUUGUCCGUCUCAUAAAAUAGAGCAAAGUACACAUACAGAAAAAGUGCAGCCUGGGCUCAUAUCUGCCAUCCUCUUGCCUCAGUCUCCGAGAGUGCUGGGACUGCGGAUGUGGACACCACCAC